CAAGAGUCUUUACAAGAAUGGCAAGAAUGUUGCAGGGGCCCAGGGCCGGGCACGGUGGCUCAUGCCUGUAAUCCAGCACUUUGGGAGGCUGAGGCGGACGUAAUUCCUGCCUCUUCCACAGACUAGACAUGUGACUGGGGGCAGAUUCCUUCAGCAAUAUCACCUCAUUUGGAGAAGAACUGGACUAAAAUACCCUCCAAUCACUUUCCGAUUUGCUGGUUUAAUAAUCCUAUCAGAAAAGAAGAGGUUAGCUAUACAUGACUUUCUCUAGAAGCAUAUCGAUUGGCUCCUUGUAACAUUUUUCCUCUUUAAUAUAACAAAAUUGUGCAGUGUCUGAUGGCUACAGAACCAUCCAAAAUAUGGGUUUCCCAUACUUGGUGAUAGAGUGUAAGGGGUUCUCAGCUUAUAUAUUUAAAAUAACAGCUCUCAUUUCAAAUACCAUUUAUUUCUCCUCAUUAUUUGCAAAUAACUGUUAUAGUCUUGCCUGUUUCUUAAUUGGGCUGUUUGUUUUUUGUUGUUGAAUUGUAGAGUUCUUUAUAUAUUCUGGAUCUUAGUCCCAGAAGACGUGAAGGCAGAUUUUCAUUCUUCUUCUGGCCAAAGCUCAGUACAAGAACGACCUCAAAGGCAAGUAUUGGGAAGGAAAAUAGACUAAAAAGUAAAUUAUCUAAAUAUUCAUACCAAGAAAUUAGAUUAAAAAAUUAAAUUUAAAGAAAAUGAAAGAAUUGAGAUAUAGUAUUCUAUAAUAGACAUAACAAAGAAUAGAGAUAAAAACUAAUGAAAUACAACACAAACCAUGGAUAAGAUAAAAUAAAGCUAAAAUAUGGAUGUUUGAAAAACUAAUAAAAUUGGUAA
rnacentral:lncRNA from 1 species